AAAAUGCUAUGAAUGAAUCAUGAAAUGUACAACGCAUGUCAGACUUCAGAGAUGCCACGGCAUCGAUGAGAAGAUACUUUGUAUUCUGAGCUAUUU